rnacentral:misc_RNA from 1 species
AACGCACAUUGCGCCCGCCAGUAUUCUGGCGGGCAUGCCUGUUCGAGCGUCAUUUCAACCUUCAAGCCCUGCUUGUGUUGGGGUCCUGCGGCUGCCCGCAGGCCCUGAAAACCAGUGGCGGGCUCGCUAGUCACACCGAGCGCAGUAGCACAUCUCGCUCAGGGCGUGCGGCGGGUUCUUGCCGUUAAACACCCCCUUUCCACAGGUUGACCUCGGAUCAGGUAGGAAUACCCGCUGAACUUAA